CAAAUACUCCCUCCAUCCCGAAUUACUUGUCACAGAAAUGGAUGUAUCUAGAACUAAAAAUAUGUCUAGAUACAUCCAUUUCUACGACAAAUAAUUCCGGACAGAGGGAGUAUGUG
rfam:Triticum aestivum genome assembly, contig: Triticum_aestivum_CS42_TGACv1_scaffold_570109_7AS